GUGGUUGUGGCUCAGUGGUAGAGUGCCUAGGAUGUAUGAGGUACUGGGUUCGAUUCUCAGCACCACA
rfam:Ictidomys tridecemlineatus contig104269, whole genome shotgun sequence.